GCCCUGGUAGUGUAGCGGCCUAUCAUGAAGCCCUGUCGAGGCUUCGACACGGAUUCAAAUUCCGUCCAGGGCG
rnacentral:tRNA from 4 species